CAUGCAAGCUAAUCGUAAAUACAAACACAAUUUUUCACUUUAUUCAAUGCCACACUGAACCACACAAUUUUUGCCCCUCAAAUGUUCACAAAUACCUCAACUUUACAUGUGCCUCCUAUGAUAAUGCCAAAAUCUCACUGGGGUAAAAAGGUAAUCCUAAACCCAAAUGAUAUUAAAUCCGGGGAGGCUUUUCCACUCCCACCCCCUAACUUCAACUCUACUUAACCCCUUAUCAGAAACACAUUUAUCUCCUCCAUAAACCAUCAUCGAAACCAAAUACAACAACAAUGGAUCCAUUCAUGAUACAAUAUAAGUUCUUUGUCGUAUCGAAGGGAAGGAAUACAUGAAUUUUUACCUCCUUCGAUGAGGCAUCUCGGCAAGUCGUUAACUUUUUGGAUGCCGAAUACUCCGCCUUCAACUGCCAGGCAACUACCGUCGGGGCGUAUUCAGCAAAGCUACAAUCCAUGGAAACCAAGAGGAAGAAUUAAGAGAAAUGGGGGCAGAGUUUCAAGAUCCAGUUCAUUUGCCACCGAGGAACCUGCACACCAUCCCCACCGCGAAUGGAUGCCGAGCCAAGCUCUACUGCAGUAACCCGUCAAUGCCAUUCCCCCUCCACCGAAGCAGCUUUUGGCAACUAUGCAAUCAAUGUGAACAUGGAGGAAUAGUUGCUAAAGGUUUGCUACGUAUCCUCUAUCCCACCUCCAGCAUUCUUUCGCAACGAGAUCGAGAUCUGCAACAUCAGCAUCCACUACGCUUUACUGUUGUCAUCCCGGGCAAUCCCUUAGAUCCACAUAUCUACGCUAAGGGUUGGUACUUGUAGUGCGAGUCAGAUGCCAGGGAGGACGUCUUAUUCAACAUGGUUGAGAAGAUUCUAGAGGUCACUGGCCAAGAAAUUCGGGACUACAACUACAUUUGAGCAAUCAUGCUCGCCAGGGUCAAUAGCGAACUCACCCACCAGGUUGAACGCCUCGAGGAGAAGUGUCGCACUCAUGGCUCUGAUAGCAGCCCCGAUCUAGUCUCGCCAUAGUAGAGUGCCGAUCCACUGUGACUGGCUGUGAUCUGGAAAGCUUGUUUCUCUAUGCUAUAUGACUAAGUCACUUAAGAUAUAUGUCGUUAUCUU